rnacentral:lncRNA from 1 species
AUGGAAAAACAAAAUCAGUCCAUGGUGCCUGAAUUUAUUUUGUUGGGAUUCAAAAAUCUCAUGAGCUACAGAUUUUCUUUAUCUUAUUUUUCCAUUCUCUACAUAUCCAUAAUUAAGUAACCUAAUCAUUAUCUUUGUAGUGAAACUGGAUCCUCAAUUGCAUUCUCCCAUGUACUUCCUACUGGCCAACCUGUCAUCUACUGAUAUGCCCCUGGCCUCCUUUGCUACUCCUAAGAAAAUCGAUAAUGUAAUUAGUGAAUAUAGGACCAUCUCCUAUGAAGGCUGCAUGACAUAGAGAUUUUUCCUUCACUUUUUAAGUGGAAGUGAGAUGGUUUUACUCUUAGCCAUGGCAAUCGAUAGAUAAUUUGCCAUAUGCAAACCCCUCCAUUACAAGUCCAUUGCAUCGGACUUGCUCCUCGCUCCUGGACUAUGGAUUUCAUGCACACCAUGAGCCAAAUUGUUCUCACAGUGACUUUGCCAUUCUGUGGUCUCAGUGUUGUGGAUAUUUUUGUGUGUGUGUGAUCUGCCUUGUGAUAAAACUUGCCUGUACAGACACUUACAUCUUGGAGCUAUGAGUCAUUGCAGACAGUGGACUACUUUCUUUGCUGUGUUUCAUGUUUCUGUUAAUCUCCUAUAGCACCGUCCUGAUUAUUAUUUGACAUCAUUCCUCCAGGGGGUCUUCCAAAACUCUGUCCACGCUUUCAGCCCACAUUAUGGUGGUGGUACUGUUCUUUGGAGCUUGCAUCUUUACCUGUGAAAGACCAUUCAGCACUGUCUCCAUUGAUGUCUGUGUUUUAAACUAUUUUUGCUCCCCUUUUAAAUCCAAUCAUCUACACAUUCAGGAAUAACGACAUGAAGAAAGCAUUAAGAAAAAUGAAGAUUAACUUUGUGAGUUCUAGAUCAACUUGAUAA